rnacentral:piRNA from 1 species
ACUACCAAGAAGGACAACGGUUGGCGA